rnacentral:rRNA from 1 species
UGUUAGUGGAAGCGUCUGGAAAGGCGCGCGAUACAGGGUGACAGCCCCGUACACAAAAAUGCACAUAUUGUGAGCUCGAUGAGUAGGGCGGGACACGUGGUAUCCUGUCUGAAUAUGGGGGGACCAUCCUCCAAGGCUAAAUACUCCUGACUGACCGAUAGUGAACCAGUACCGUGAGGGAAAGGCGAAAAGAACCCCGGCGAGGGGAGUGAAAAAGAACCUGAAACCGUGUACGUACAAGCAGUGGGAGCCUCUUUAUGGGGUGACUGCGUACCUUUUGUAUAAUGGGUCAGCGACUUAUAUUCUGUAGCAAGGUUAACCGAAUAGGGGAGCCGAAGGGAAACCGAGUCUUAACUGGGCGUUAAGUUGCAGGGUAUAGACCCGAAACCCGGUGAUCUAGCCAUGGGCAGGUUGAAGGUUGGGUAACACUAACUGGAGGACCGAACCGACUAAUGUUGAAAAAUUAGCGGAUGACUUGUGGCUGGGGGUGAAAGGCCAAUCAAACCGGGAGAUAGCUGGUUCUCCCCGAAAGCUAUUUAGGUAGCGCCUCGUGAAUUCAUCUCCGGGGGUAGAGCACUGUUUCGGCAAGGGGGUCAUCCCGACUUACCAACCCGAUGCAAACUGCGAAUACCGGAGAAUGUUAUCACGGGAGACACACGGCGGGUGCUAACGUCCGUCGUGAAGAGGGAAACAACCCAGACCGCCAGCUAAGGUCCCAAAGUCAUGGUUAAGUGGGAAACGAUGUGGGAAGGCCCAGACAGCCAGGAUGUUGGCUUAGAAGCAGCCAUCAUUUAAAGAAAGCGUAAUAGCUCACUGGUCGAGUCGGCCUGCGCGGAAGAUGUAACGGGGCUAAACCAUGCACCGAAGCUGCGGCAGCGACACUAUGUGUUGUUGGGUAGGGGAGCGUUCUGUAAGCCUGCGAAGGUGUACUGUGAGGUAUGCUGGAGGUAUCAGAAGUGCGAAUGCUGACAUAAGUAACGAUAAAGCGGGUGAAAAGCCCGCUCGCCGGAAGACCAAGGGUUCCUGUCCAACGUUAAUCGGGGCAGGGUGAGUCGACCCCUAAGGCGAGGCCGAAAGGCGUAGUCGAUGGGAAACAGGUUAAUAUUCCUGUACUUGGUGUUACUGCGAAGGGGGGACGGAGAAGGCUAUGUUGGCCGGGCGACGGUUGUCCCGGUUUAAGCGUGUAGGCUGGUUUUCCAGGCAAAUCCGGAAAAUCAAGGCUGAGGCGUGAUGACGAGGCACUACGGUGCUGAAGCAACAAAUGCCCUGCUUCCAGGAAAAGCCUCUAAGCAUCAGGUAACAUCAAAUCGUACCCCAAACCGACACAGGUGGUCAGGUAGAGAAUACCAAGGCGCUUGAGAGAACUCGGGUGAAGGAACUAGGCAAAAUGGUGCCGUAACUUCGGGAGAAGGCACGCUGAUAUGUAGGUGAAGUCCCUCGCGGAUGGAGCUGAAAUCAGUCGAAGAUACCAGCUGGCUGCAACUGUUUAUUAAAAACACAGCACUGUGCAAACACGAAAGUGGACGUAUACGGUGUGACGCCUGCCCGGUGCCGGAAGGUUAAUUGAUGGGGUUAGCGGUAACGCGAAGCUCUUGAUCGAAGCCCCGGUAAACGGCGGCCGUAACUAUAACGGUCCUAAGGUAGCGAAAUUCCUUGUCGGGUAAGUUCCGACCUGCACGAAUGGCGUAAUGAUGGCCAGGCUGUCUCCACCCGAGACUCAGUGAAAUUGAACUCGCUGUGAAGAUGCAGUGUACCCGCGGCAAGACGGAAAGACCCCGUGAACCUUUACUAUAGCUUGACACUGAACAUUGAGCCUUGAUGUGUAGGAUAGGUGGGAGGCUUUGAAGUGUGGACGCCAGUCUGCAUGGAGCCGACCUUGAAAUACCACCCUUUAAUGUUUGAUGUUCUAACGUUGGCCCCUGAUCGGGGUUGCGGACAGUGUCUGGUGGGUAGUUUGACUGGGGCGGUCUCCUCCUAAAGAGUAACGGAGGAGCACGAAGGUUGGCUAAUCCUGGUCGGACAUCAGGAGGUUAGUGCAAUGGCAUAAGCCAGCUUGACUGCGAGCGUGACGGCGCGAGCAGGUGCGAAAGCAGGUCAUAGUGAUCCGGUGGUUCUGAAUGGAAGGGCCAUCGCUCAACGGAUAAAAGGUACUCCGGGGAUAACAGGCUGAUACCGCCCAAGAGUUCAUAUCGACGGCGGUGUUUGGCACCUCGAUGUCGGCUCAUCACAUCCUGGGGCUGAAGUAGGUCCCAAGGGUAUGGCUGUUCGCCAUUUAAAGUGGUACGCGAGCUGGGUUUAGAACGUCGUGAGACAGUUCGGUCCCUAUCUGCCGUGGGCGCUGGAGAACUGAGGGGGGCUGCUCCUAGUACGAGAGGACCGGAGUGGACGCAUCACUGGUGUUCGGGUUGUCAUGCCAAUGGCACUGCCCGGUAGCUAAAUGCGGAAGAGAUAAGUGCUGAAAGCAUCUAAGCACGAAACUUGCCCCGAGAUGAGUUCUCCCUGACUCCUUGAGAGUCCUGAAGGAACGUUGAAGACGACGACGUUGAUAGGCCGGGUGUGUAAGCGCAGCGAUGCGUUGAGCUAACCGGUACUAAUGAACCGUGAGGCUUAACCUUACAACGCCGAAG